rnacentral:rRNA from 1 species
AACGAACGCUGGCGGCAGGCCGAACACAUGCAAGUCGAACGCUGUAGCAAUACAGAGUGGCAGACGGGUGAGUAACGCGUGGGAACGUGCCUUUCGGUUCGGAAUAACUCAGGGAAACUUGAGCUAAUACCGUAUACGCCCUUCGGGGGAAAGAUUUAUUGCCGAAAUAUCGGCCCGCUUCCGAUUAGCUGGUGGGUGUGGUAAUGGCGCACCAAGGCGACGAUCGGUAGCUGGUCUGGGAGGAUGAUCAGCCACACUGGGACUGCGACACGGCCACGACUCCAACGGGAGGCAGCAGUGGGGAAUAUUGGACAAUGGGCGCAAGCCUGAUCCAGCCAUGCCGCGUGAGUGCUGAAGGCCCUAGGGUUGUAAAGCUCUUUCGCCAGGGACGAUAAUGACGGUACCUGGAUAAGAAGCCCCGGCUAACUUCGUGCCAGCAGCCGCGGUAA